rnacentral:misc_RNA from 1 species
GGACAUGCAUUCUCCCUGUCCAAGCUUGAAUUUACUGCUGCCUAUCAUAGGCUUAGGGGUGCUAAUGUGCUAUUGCCAUUUGCUUUCCAUUGUACUGGUAUGCCCAUUAAGGCCUCAGCAGAUAAACUUCGUCGGGAGAUUCAACAGUUUGGUGAUCCGCCUGUAUUUACCAAAGAAGUGGAGGAGCAAGUAGAACCACAAACAGAGCCAGACAAUGCACAUGAGAGUGUUCCAGUAGAUAAGUUCAAGGGGAAAAAGUCCAAGGCUGCAUCAAAAUCAGGGGGACAAAUGUUCCAG